AGGAAGGAAGGAACACAGAUCAGGCCCUGAAGCCAACUGUUGUGACUUCCAAAUCUCUAGGCCAUGUUUAGGUAGGGAAGGCAAGCCACAAAACACGGCCCAUGUGCUAGCAAAGCAGGGAAAGAAGAGCUCCCAUCCCGGGCUCCCAGGAAGUGGGGUUCUUCAGGGAAGUGACGGCCUGGGCUGCCUCCAGCACGCUGCAACAGUGCAUGGUAGUCCUCAUUCACCUGCCGGCAGAGAUAUCAGCAGUGGGUCCCCAGACGCCUACGCGGCCGCCGCUAGAAAAGCUGUACACCAUAAGCAGAAGCCUCCAAAGAACAUGAAAUCCCAGCACUUGGGGCUAGGAAACAGUUUUCUUGGUAAAGCGCAUUCCACAAUGCAGUCACGAGUGGAAAAGUUGUCGGCCUCCGUUCUAGAGAAACCUUGCCAUCUGCCUUGACUAGGCCUCCUCAGGAGUUUGGGGUGGUCUCCAACUCUGCGGCUAGACAGGUGAGGAUAUUUGCGGGGAAGGAGGAACUGGGGCAGUCAGACCUAGACGUGUGCCUUCCUUGAAUUCCACGGGCAACCCUGUCGCUCCACGCACGGCAGUGGUGGUGACUCCACCUCCCCCGACUAACGUGAUUGGUAGUUCCCGGAGUGGAAAAAAAAAA